rnacentral:rRNA from 1 species
UACGUAGGGUCCGAGCGUUGUCCGGAAUUAUUGGGCGUAAAGGGCUCGUAGGCGGUCUGUUGCGUCGGGAGUGAAAACUUACAGCUUAACUGUGAGCGUGCUUCCGAUACGGGCAGACUUGAGGUAUUCAGGGGAGAACGGAAUUCCUGGUGUAGCGGUGAAAUGCGCAGAUAUCAGGAGGAACCCCGGUGGCGAAGGCGGUUCUCUGGGAAUAUCCUGACGCUGAGGAGCGAAAGUGUGGGGAGCGAACAGG